AUCUACAGGUAAUUGUGCUUAGUGCAUGAUGGUGUAAUGGCAGUUCUUGUCCACAGUGAGGCGAUCUCACUCAAACCUUCCAAGCAGCCUUUCCCAGCUGAACUGAGACACAAACUCUCAUCAACAAGAGGUUGCAAGAGGUCCAUUUAAGGGGCCCCAAUGUUUGACUUGGAAGGGUUUCUCACUCUGGAGCCAUGCUUCGAGGAACACUUCCUGACUUCUAGGAACCCCUUGUCUGGACCUCUGGAGGAACUCGCAUACACACAUCCAGAGCAAGUCUCAGCCAGCUGUUCACAUCUGUCAAGGGGGAGGGGCGGCACGUUCAUGUUCUCCCAGUUGGAGGGAGGAUGGGUAGUGGGAAAGCCAUGUGCCUAAAGCUAGCUCAAAGCCAUGUGCCUAAAGCUAGCUCAAAGCCAUGUGCCUAAAGCUACCUCAAAGCCAUGUACAUA
ensembl:lncRNA